GUUACCUGUUGGACUAGUUCUUCUGGUGCGCUCUUCGCCUCUUCGCUUUGCUCGGAGUCCCUCAUCUCUGCACAAGUGAAGUUCAUGCUAGCAUGAUGCCUUGUGAGCAUGCGUGCUAUGGUUCUGUAGCCGUCUCUGUCAUCUAAGUUGUAGUACCCAGCUGUGAGCUCGGCUGCAUGGUUUGGAACCCUGUACCACCAGUGAAUGCCAGAGAUCUGCAACCAAACAUUGGAUCAUGUCUCAUUACAUUCUAGAUUAAGCAAUGCACAACUUCUCAAAUGAAUCAUGAUUUUUCACUGAGAUCUAUAGGAUGGUACUUACUUUGAUUGCCAGCUGCACCCUGCAUCCCAAGAAGACCUUGUUUGCUUCGUCCAAGAUCUUGUCACCGUGCUUGAUCAGUUUGUUGGAGUACCAUGACAGGAAAAACUUCCCCUUCUCUGUGAGGUAUGUUCCGUUGUCCUUGAAGAAUUGGGUUUUCUCGGGAGUGUCGUUGUACUCU